CAUGCAGGCGGUUACAUAAGUCAGGUGUGAAAUCCCCGCGCUUAACGUGGGCAUUGCAUUUGAAACUAUGUAGCUAGAGUUCUGUAGAGGGGGGUAGAAUUCCAGGUGUAGCGGUGAAAUGCGUAGAGAUCUGGAGGAAUACCGAUUGCGAAGGCAGCCCCCUGGUCUGUAACUGACGCUGAGGCGCGAAAGCGUGGGGAGCAAACAGGAUUAGAUACCCUAGUA
rnacentral:rRNA from 1 species